rnacentral:rRNA from 1 species
UUCCGGUUGAUCCUGCCGGAGGCUACCGCUAUUGGAGUUCGAUUAAGCCAUGCGAGUCGUUGUAGCAAUACAAGGCAUACGGCUCAGUAACGCGUAGUCAACCUAACCUAUGGACGGGAAUAACCUCGGGAAACUGAGAAUAAUGCCCGAUAGAACAUUAUGCCUGGAAUGGUUUAUGUUCCAAAUGAUUUAUCGCCAUAGGAUGGGACUGCGGCCUAUCAGUUUGUUGGUGAGGUAAUGGCCCACCAAGACUAUUACAGGUACGGGCUCUGAGAGGAGUAGCCCGGAGAUGGGUACUGAGACACGGACCCAGGCCCUAUGGGGCGCAGCAGGCGAGAAAACUUUGCAAUGUGCGAAAGCACGACAAGGUUAAUCCGAGUGAUUUCUGCUAAAGAAAUCUUUUGCAAGUCAUAAAACCACUAGUGAAUAAGGGGUGGGCAAGUUCUGGUGUCAGCCGCCGCGGUAAAACCAGCACCUCAAGUGGUCAGGAGGAUUAUUGGGCCUAAAGCAUCCGUAGCCGGCUCUGUAAGUUUUCGGUUAAAUCCAUGUGCUCAACGCAUGGGCUGCCGAAAAUACUGCAUAGCUAGGGAGUGGGAGAGGUAGACGGUACUCGGUAGGAAGGGGUAAAAUCCUUUGAUCUAUCGAUGACCACCUGUGGCGAAGGCGGUCUACCAGAACACGUUCGACGGUGAGGGAUGAAAGCUGGGGGAGCAAACCGGAUUAGAUACCCGGGUAGUCCCAGCUGUAAACGAUGCAGACUCGAUGAUGCAUUGGCAUAUAGCCAGUGCAGUGUCGCAGGGAAGCCGUUAAGUCUGCCGCCUGGGAAGUACGUACGCAAGUAUGAAACUUAAAGGAAUUGGCGGGGGAGCACCACAAGGGGUGAAGCCUGCGGUUCAAUUGGAUUCAACGCCGGG